AUAAUGCUACACGUUAUGGCAUAUCUCACAUACAUAUUAUAUUUAGCCGGCCCACUGCUGCAAGACCUCACUACACAUCAGUUCCUCCCCAAAUAUCUAGAUCCCCAAAUCUCAAACCCCUAGCUUGGCAGUGCUCCCUUCUCUUGUGAUGUCCACCGCGAGUUAUUCUGUAUCCGGCAUUCGUUGCCAUACCCCAGUAUACCAACUUCCACUUAUGUUCUGCCCCAUUGUCGUGAGCAAGUUGUGGUUCUCGUCUCCGCAAGUAUCCUCAUGAUGGUUAGGUGUUCUACAAGUGCAAAUCGGACAGACUUGCGCAUAAAUUCUAGCAUUGGGAGCUACAGUAUGUGGAGUAUCUGAUUCAGUAACGGUACCUUGUUGGUGCACUACAGUAUGCUAGAGCUACAAGGGAAGAGCUUGAGCAUGAGAAAGCAGUGAAACUAGCCAUUGUUGCAUCCAGUAUCGGCAGCAAUGCCGCUGACGAUCGCAGACUGUUGACGAUGAUGAAUGCUUUGAUACUGAUAGCAAGAGAGAUAUUGUUCCUCAUGAAGUUAGGCCUUGGUCUGGGUUUACUGGUAUGCUUUCUGAUGCUCUUUGUAAUGUUGAUGAAAUGAUAUGAGCAGUCACAUUAGUCUUUCUUGAUGUAUCUUUGUUUCUAUGAGUUGGUAUGGGUUUGUUGCUAUGCUUUAUGAUGCUCUUUGUAAUGCGUAUGACCAGUAACAUUAGUACUUCUGUUUGUAUCUUUGUUUC